AACGAACGCUGGCGGCAUGCCUAACACAUGCAAGUCGAACGAGACCUUCGGGUGUAGUGGCGCACGGGUGCGUCACGCGUGGGAACCUGCCCUUAGGUUCGGAAUAACUCCCCGACAGGGGUGCUAAUACCGGAUAAUGUCUUCUGACCAAAGAUUUAUCGCCUUUGGAUGGGCCCGCGUUGGUUUAGCUUGUUGGUAGUGUAAAAGCCUAUCAAGGCUACGAUCCAUAGCUGGUCUGAGAGGAUGGGCAGCCACACUGGGGCUGGGACACGGCCCAGAAUCCUACGGGAGGCAGCAGUGGGGAAUAUUGGACAAUGGGCGAAAGCCUGAUCCAGCAAUGCCGCGUGAGUGAUGAAGGCCGUAGGGUUGUGAAGCUCGUUUACCCGGGAUGAUAAUGACAGUACCGGGAGAAUAAGCACCGGCUAACUCCGUG
rnacentral:rRNA from 1 species